rnacentral:rRNA from 1 species
ACGCACGCUGGCGGCGUGCUUAACCCAUGCAAGUCGAACGGAAAGGCCCUGCUUUUGUGGGGUGCUCGAGUGGCGAACGGGUGAGUAACACGUGAGUAACCUGCCCUUGACUUUGGGAUAACUUCAGGAAACUGGGGCUAAUACCGGAUAGGAGCUCCUGCUGCAUGGUGGGGGUUGGAAAGUUUCGGCGGUUGGGGAUGGACUCGCGGCUUAUCAGCUUGUUGGUGGGGUAGUGGCUUACCAAGGCUUUGACGGGUAGCCGGCCUGAGAGGGUGACCGGCCACAUUGGGACUGAGAUACGGCCCAGACUCAUACGGGAGGCAGCAGUGGGGAAUAUUGCACAAUGGGCGGAAGCCUGAUGCAGCAACGCCGCGUGCGGGAUGACGGCCUUCGGGUUGUAAACCGCUUUCGCCUGUGACGAAGCGUGAGUGACGGUAAUGGGUAAAGAAGCACCGGCUAACUACGUG